rnacentral:lncRNA from 1 species
UUAGAUUCUCCUCAACCAUGAUGAAUAAUGCCUGGGAGAGGGGAAGAAGUAAUGGAAGCCUGCACGGGUGGCCCCAAGGCAGGCAGUCCUUGGACUCCCUGGACUGCGGCUGUCCUUGACCUCACUGCUGGGGCAUGUAAAAGGAACGACUCAGAGUCUAACAGGCCACAGUCUGGGCUUGAUGUUCACCGAUUUUCCCUCAGCUCCGACUGUGGCUCCUCUCAGCUGACUCUGACCCUGCUCUCAGCCGGGCUGCAUCUGCCCAUCUCAGCACAUCAAUAAACAGCAGAGGGAAACUACCACCUUGGAAGGAGCCAGGCAGUUUCUGCUGGGUAGGCCGCAGCCUGGAACAUGGAAGUAGCUUCUUCCAUCCUACACUGGAAACCACCCAGCAUCCCGGGCCCUCCAGAGAAGAGCCAGACUCCCUUCCCUGGGAAGAGACUAUAGUCCUAUCUGUAUCCUCCGUGGUCAUUGCCCCUCAGUCACAGCAAUGAAGAGCAAAUUACCUGUUUUCUGUAUGUUCCUCUGACAACAACUGCCACAGAGUAAAUAUGAAAGGUUCUGGAUGAUUCCUUGUCAGCUUUUAUUAAAAUUCCAC